rnacentral:lncRNA from 1 species
GUGCAGAUGAAUGGAUGAUAGAAUAUGGAAUGUUCUAAGAUUUGUAUGGAUGGAUGGAUGCAUACAUCCCAUCUAGCAUAGAAGGUCAAAAGAGAGAUUUUUUUUUUUUUUUGCAUGAAUCCAUCAUUGAAUCAUCCAUCACAUAGAUCUCAGGGCACUUCACACUCAAUCAUUCAUCAUUUGCACAGAUUUUAAAAUGAUCAAUAUGGGAUCUCAUGGUGGAUUCGCAUGAAGGAAUGGAAAUCCUUC